UCUAUCAGGUCCCUUCUAGGUUGAAUUUUUAAUAGUCCAGUGAGCGCCCCCAGGUAUUGGUUGACCAUGUCUCGUCCUUGUUUUCCCAAAUCCUCCCACCACAUGUGGAGUGCUAGUAGAAUCUGAUCCAAAACCUUCACAGGUAAGUUCUGAACGGUGCUCAUUCUGUACAUUUUUAAAUUAGGGUGACCAGAUUAAAAUUUUGGAUAAAACUUACCAUGAAAAGAUUAUUUUUGUAAAAUACAACUGAAAACAAAUCACGGCUACUUUUGCAAAUACGACCUUUCAACACUUCGGAGGAGAAGAUUUUAGGGCUGUGUUUUCUAAGUGGCCAAUUUUUUUCUUUUUUCUUUUUUUUCUAAAAAAAACACAUGAGUGACUAUUCUUGCAAAACAGCCUUCCGGCGUCUCGUCGGGACAUUUUUGGCUAUUUGGGCAAAAAUGGCAUCGCCGAACUUUAUUUAUGACAACAUUUCCCUAUUUUGAUUAUUUUUGCAAAAAUGGGACUGGACCCGAUGAGGGUUUCCUACGUAUCCCACACCUUGUGGGAAUCAAACCCGCGUAGUUCGGUGAGUUUUGACGCGUGGAAAAAUAGGACUUAUUUUUUCAAAGACUUAUCUUUUUCUUUUCUCUCUUUUUUUAAAAAUUCGGUAGAGUUUCAGGAUAUUUUGAACACUGGUAUUUUUAGAAUCGGAUGUUUCUCUAUCCUACCUCACUUCUUGAUUUUGCUUGAUUUUCUUUCCCUAUUCUAAAAGCCGGUCAAGAUACAAGCCGAAACCGAUAAAUGCACAAGUAGCACGUAAAAUGCAUCAGAAUGGUCUUUUAAAUUGGGUACACCUGUCCUAGACAGACCCAACCCCUGUGUUGAGUCCCAAAAGUCAAAUGCACGUGAUGCAAAAGAAUGUACCUACUAGGGAUCCGGCAUGAGGCUGUGUUAUUCUAGGCUUAAAACCCUGGGUGUAUGGUUCUAGACCUGGCUUACCCGAGCGGACAACUCGAGCCGAGGAGGGGCAACGUACCGGUAAUCAAAAGGCAAUCCGGCUUUGUAACUGAUCCGAUCCUCGUUCUAAAUUAGGAUAUGACAUUAAUAGAAAAGAAGUCACGCCAACGUGCACUUCCCAGAAGAUUUAGAAGACUCAGAGAGAAGAAGGGUUUUGUGACAGUUUAUAUAAAGUCCAAACAAUAUCAAAGCGGUAAAAAGAGGCAUUUAGCACAUUAGGCUCAAACACGUAAAAAUCAGAUAAUAAGUAAAAGCCAAGUAUAACAGUCAUCUAAGCUCGAAUUCUGAACCCUGAACCAGAAGUUCUGGGUUCGGUCCCCAACAGAGUCGCCAGAGUUGUCACCCCUCCUUUUUCCCGAAGGGGGGAUUAGGAGAGUUUUUUCAAAUUAAGUGACAUUAAUCAAAAUGGGAUUAUUUAUUUAUCAGAGUCGCCACUUGGAAUAAUUUAUGGUGUCCCAAGUCACCGGUUUAUUUUAAAUCUCAAAUCGAGGAAAUUUGACUCUAUUUAUGGCCCGCGAACACAGAAGACCGGGUAAGGAAUUUUGUUAAUCCGGGAGAAGGUGUGAGGCACUCCCGAGUUCCGUGGUUUUAGCACGGUCACUUAACAAUUAAUACUUGGCCUAAUUAUCUGAUUCAUUACAUAUUUAAAACCUAUUAUGCAUUUUUACUUUUUAAUCGCUUAUAAUUAUUUAUGGAAUUAUUUCUGGAACAAGUCACGAUGUCGUACACUUGUCGUUUUGGCACACGUCGCAAACUGCACCACAUGAAAUACACCCGCGAUUUAUGACAUGCUUAUUUUUAUUAUUAUUUGAAGUUAUGGUUGAGUCACAUGAAACGCACACUCGAAUUGGGGAUUACGUAUCAUGACUAUGCCACGAUGUUCAUGAACUAUUUAUUUCCUAAGAUUUGAGAUUUGUUGUGAGGUAAUGACUUAUGGAAUAGAAUUAUUGUGGAAAAAUGUAUGAUUUUAGCUAUUAUGAAUCUAUUCAAAAAGAUACUAAAAAAUCAAUGUUACAACCCAACAAUUUACGCCUAUAUCUUUUACUAAUGCGACUAGUAAGAGGAUGAGACACAAAAAACAUUUUAAACUCUAAGAACUAGUGGAUCAAUCCAAGACAACAGUAAACCUGCUAAGUGAGUAAUAUCGAAACAAAUGCUAUUUGAAAUUAAUGAAACUUCAACAGACUCAUAAGGGGUACCAGGAACCGGAACUUCCUUGUUAAGCAAGGAGCAAAGAUAAAUAUAAGUUAAUAUGUAUAUCAAUGGGGAAGGAGUCUGCUAGGAUGUCGACAUACUUAAGGACACUGAUUCAUCAAAUUCAAAUGACGCUAACCAAACCAAUAGCAGAAAAGAUAUCAAGCCAUCUAUCGUAAGCUCGGUCCAAAGAAAGGAAGAUAAACAAGAAAAACUUGCGAAGAUGCGAAUGAUGAUAACAAAUCUAUUGUUUCCAAUACAUGGAAUCAACUGACCAACUAGCUGAAGCACAGUAGCUAAUACAAUCACGAAUUUUCACCUCGAAACAAAAUACUUAACAUGAAUUCAAUCUCCAUGCUCAAAUAAAUAUCAAUUCAACUAACCCGUCAACAACCUUGAAGGUAGAAGUCUUAACAGAUUCCGAAAUUUAACAAUAAGUACGAAUAAAUUAUUUAUGAAAAAAUGAACAAAGGACAACUUCAAACGGAAAUUGAAACGACCUGAGGAAAGCAAAUAGACUCAAUGUUCAUGUGCGGUGCUUCUAAGCAAAUAUAAACCAAAGUAGUAAUCUCAAAUAAUUAAGCAAAGCACAGAAAACGAGUCAUUGCUCACUUAGCAUUCGUCAAAUAAUCCAGUCUCAUAAAUAUUUCAAAGUGAAUUGAGCCAUGUCAUCCCAUAUAUAUAUAUAUUCACAUCACCGAAAGCAAAUUAGAGAAGAGAAAGAAAUGAACCUGUUUAGUCGAAAUUCUUUUUAAUAACAGUAAAUGAAUCAAUAGAUACAAUAUUUUGCUCCAAAGUUUCAACUGAAAACAACAAAGUUAUCGAGCAGAAGCCGCGAGCCAAAUCGAAACCACGAACCUCGGAUGGAAACUCGGAUCGGCACCGGAAUUUCGAAUCCAAACACGAACUCAAACUCAAAUUUCAAUCAAACUCUAUCUUCGAAAACUGGAAAUGGAAAGAAGAAAUAUAUAUUUUUGUUUUGUUUUUCUGAGAUUCAAAUUAAUUUACAAGCUGAAAAAAAUGGAAUCAAAAGCAAAGCCCUUCCUUUUGUAAACCCUAUCUCUUACUUCUCUCUUUUUUUUUAAAAAAAAAAGACUUCUAUCCGAAAUUCUCCAGCCAAACCAAAAUCCCCCCCCCCCCCCCGAAAAAAAAUGACCUCUAAUAUAUAGAAGCUUCUAUACUUUCUCCUCAAGUCAUAAAAAUUCUUCCUCUUUCUAAAAAAAUCCGAAAAUUCAUCUCUUGAAACGAGUAAAGGACAAGUGGAGGGAGUAGAUUGGGUGAGACUCAAUCCUACGCCCCCCCAUUCAUCCUAAUCUCGUAUUCAAAUUGAUUUUCGGAUGGGAUGAGCGCGUGAGGGAGAAUGAGGAAGAUUCAAAUUGUACGAAAUCCGUUAUUUGUCAGGCCACGUGGAAGGGGAUGAGAGGAAAGACCACGUGAUUGGUUAGAAGGAAAUUUUUCGGUGGGUUUGGGUGGUGGUGGCGCGGAAGGAGGUGGAGGAGGAGGGUGAGGCGCCAUUGUGGUGUUCUUUUAUGGUUAAUGGGAUUAGGGUUAAGAGGUAUAAUGGGCCUUUUAUAUGGGGUGUGGGAGUUGAUUGUGUCCAUUGGAUGGGGAUGGAUUGAAAGGCUCAGAUUGAAGAAG
rnacentral:lncRNA from 1 species